rnacentral:ncRNA from 2 species
AGCAGCCGCGGUAAUUCCAGCUCCAAUAGCGUAUAUUAAAGUUGUUGCAGUUAAAAAGCUCGUAGUUGAAUUUCGGGAUUGGCGCAUCGGUCGUGCCUCACGGGGUAUGAACUGGUGCAGUCAAUUUCUCACCUUCUGGAGAACCGCGAUGUCCUUAAUUGGAUGCCGCGGGGAACCAGGACCUUUACUUUGAAAAAAUUAGAGUGUUUAAAGCAGGCAUUUUUGCUUGAAUACAUUAGCAUGGAAUAAUAAAAUAGGACGGCAUGGUUCUAUUUUGUUGGUUUCUAGGACCACCGUAAUGAUUAAUAGGGAUAGUUGGGGGCAUUAGUAUUCAAUUGUCAGAGGUGAAAUUCUUGGAUUUAUUGAAGACUAACUACUGCGAAAGCAUUUGCCAAGGAUGUUUUCAUUAAUCAAGAACGAAAGUUAGGGGAUCGAAGACGAUCAGAUACCGUCGUAGUCUUAACCAUAAACUAUGCCGACUAGGGAUCGGAUGAUGUUAAUUUUUAAUGACUCAUUCGGC